rnacentral:rRNA from 1 species
UGGGGAAUUUUCCGCAAUGGGGGAAACCCUGACGUAGCGACACCGCGUGAGCGAAGAAGCCUUUUGGGGUGUAAAGCUCUGUCAGCAGGAACGAAAAAAAUGACGGUACCUGCAGAGGAAGCAUCGGCUAACUACGUGCCAGCAGCCGCGGUAAGACGUAGGAUGCAAGCGUUGUCCGGAUCCAUUGGGCGUAAAGAGUUCGUAGGCGGUUUGUUAAGUCUGAUGUUAAAGAUCGGGGCCCAACCCUGGGAGUGCAUUGGAUACUGGCAGACUUGAGUAUGGUAGAGGCUAGUGGAAUUCCCAGUGUAGCGGUGAAAUGCGUAGAUAUUGGGAAGAACACCGGUGGCGUAGGCGACUAGCUGGGCCAUAACUGACGCUGAGGAACGAAGGCCAGGGGAGCAAAAGGGAUUAGAUACCCCUGUAGU